UGAGUCUGGGAUUUCUGAAUGGGGAAACCCACGUGCAUAAGCACGUAUCCUUACCUGAAUACAUAGGGUAAGGAGGCGAACCGGGGGAACUGAAACAUCUAAGUACCCCGAGGAAAAGAAAUCAACCGAGAUUCCGAAAGUAGCGGCGAGCGAAAUUGGACUAGCCCUUAAGCUUUACACGCGUUAGACGAACGGUCUGGAAAGUCCGACGAUACAGGGUGAUAGUCCCGUAGUUGACGACGUGUGUUCAGUGAAAUCGAGUAGGGCGGGACACGUGAUAUCCUGUCUGAAUAUGGGGGGACCAUCCUCCAAGGCUAAAUACUACUGACUGACCGAUAGUGAACCAGUACCGUGAGGGAAAGGCGAAAAGAACCCCUGUGAGGGGAGUGAAAUAGAACCUGAAACCGUGUACGUACAAGCAGUAGGAGCAGGCUUGUCCUGUGACUGCGUACCUUUUGUAUAAUGGGUCAGCGACUUAUAUUCAGUGGCAAGGUUAACCAUCUAGGGGAGCCGUAGGGAAACCGAGUCUUAACUGGGCGUUCAGUCUCUGGAUAUAGACCCGAAACCAGGUGAUCUAGCCAUGGGCAGGUUGAAGGUUGAGUAACAUCAACUGGAGGACCGAACCGACUAAUGUUG
rnacentral:rRNA from 1 species